UCUAGAAGCUUCGUCAAUGGGGGAAACCCUGACCGAGCGACGCCGCGUGCAGGACGAAGGUCUUCGGAUCGUCAACUGCUUUCGCUGGGGGAGAAAUGCCUUGGGGUGAAUAAUCCCAGGGCUAGACGGUACCCAGUAAAGAAGCUCCGGCUAAGUCCGUGCCAGCAGCCGCGGUAAUACGGGCGGAGCGAGCGUUGUUCGGAUUCAUUGGGUGUAAAGGGUGCGAAGGCGGUCGUCUAAGUCGGAGGUGAAAUGUCUACGGCUCAACCGAGGCAUUGCCUCCGAUACUGGACGACUUGAGUGCGGAAGGGGAGCGUGGAAUUCCUGGUGUAGCGGUGAAAUGCGUAGAUAUCAGGAGGAACACCGGUGGCGAAGGCGACGCUCUGGUCCGCAACUGACGCUCAUGCACGAAAGCCAGGGGAGCGAACG
rnacentral:rRNA from 1 species